AUAGUGGCUAAGAGUUAGGAGGCUAAAGCGACAGGAGCAGAUAACGGGUCCAAUGACCGAUCCCAACAAGCUAAGAGUCAAGGCUAAGUUUUAAGGAGGCUUACUACUGCAGUACUGCUUUUGUAAGAGAGUGCCAAGCAGCUGGGGAAACAUGAUACAAGAGACAUUGGUUUUGGAAAAAAGAAAAAGGCAGAAGCUGGAAGACCCUUGGGGCUACUCAAGUGAAGCAGUAGAAGUGGACAAGGAACAAAAAAAUCUACUCACAGCUGGAGAAAAUUUGUGUCAAGAUGAAUCAUGUUUUGAAUCUUCUCUCAUGUCAGAUUUAGAUAACUGUUUGGACUAUGGACCUCUUAGUUGAUGCUGGAAAGUGUUAAGAUUUUGGGGACUAUUAAGGUGAAAUAAAUGUAUUUUGCAUGUGAGAAAGACAUUAAUUUUGGGGGCUGUGGUGGAGAGCUAUGGCUUGAAUGUGUCCCCUAAGAAGCAUGUGUUGGAAACUUAAUCCCCAGUGCAACAGUGUUGGAAAGUUGGGCGUAAGAAAAGAUGUUUAUGUCAUAAGGGCUCCACCCACAUGAAUGCAUUAUUACUGAUUGUUAAAAGGCUUGAGGCUGCAAGUUUGAUCUCUCUCAUACACAAGCAUAUGUGGUUUCUUGCUCUUCUGUCUUUCACCAUGGGAUGGCUCAGUGAGAAGACUCUAACCAGAUGUAGGCCCCCUUGACUUUGAACUUCUCAGCCUCUCGAGCUGUAAGAAAUAAAUCACUGCUUUUUAAAUAAA